AUUGAACGCUGGCGGCAGGCUUAACACAUGCAAGUCGAGCGGUAACAGAGAGAAGCUUGCUUCUCUGCUGACGAGCGGCGGACGGGUGAGUAAUGCCUAGGAAUCUUCCUAGUAGUGGGGGAUAACUUGCCGAAAGGUAAGCUAAUACCGCAUACGUCCUACGGGAGAAAGGAGGGGACCUUCCGGCCCUUCGCUAUUAGAUGAGCCUAGGUAGGAUUAGUUAAUUGGUGAGGUAAUGGCUCACCAAGACCGCGAUCCGUAACUGGUCUGAGAGGAUGAUCAGUGACACUGGAACUGAGACACGGUCCAGACUCCUACGGGAGGCAGCAGUGGGGAAUAUUGGACAAUGGGGGGAACCCUGAUCCAGCCAUGCCGCGUGUGUGAAGAAGGUCUUAGGAUUGUAAAGCACUUUAAGUUGGGAGGAAGAGCAGUUAACUAAUAUUUGACUGUUUUGACGUUACCGACAGAAUAAGCACCGGCUAACUUCGUGCCAGCCGCCGCAGUAA
rnacentral:rRNA from 1 species